rnacentral:rRNA from 1 species
GACGACGCUGGCGGCGUGGAUUAGGCAUGCAAGUCGAACGGUAUCAUCCUUUCGGGGGUGAGAGAGUGGCGAACUGGUGAGUAACACGUAGGUUAUCUACCUUCAAGACGGGACAACCCAGGGAAACUUGGGCUAAUACCGGAUGUGAGCAACUUUUAGUUGUUUGAAAGGUGGCGUAAGCUGUCGCUUGGGGAUGAGCCUGCGUCCUAUUAGUUAGUUGGUGAGGUAACGGCUCACCUAGGCAAUGAUAGGUAGGCGGCCUUAACGGGUGGUCGCCCACACUGGGAUUGAGAUACGGCCCAGACUCCUACGGGAGGCAGCAGUCGAGAAUAGUCUACAAUGGUCGGAAGACUGAUAGUGCGACGCCGCGUGAACGAUGAAUCCCUUCGGGGUGUAAAGUUCUUUUAUAUGUGAGCAGUGCUUCUUAUAUUAACAGUAUGGGGAGAGAGAUAUUAGCAUAUGAAUAAGCAACGGCUAACUCCGUG